UACAGAGGGUGCAAGCGUUGUUCGGAUUUACUGGGCGUAAAGCGUACGCAGACGGCUUGGUAGGUCGGAUGUGAAAGCCCCGGGCUCAACCCGGGAAUUGCAUCCGAAACCACCUGGCUCGAGUGUGGGAGAGGGAAGUGGAAUUCCUGGUGUAGAGGUGAAAUUCGUAGAUAUCAGGAGGAACACCGGCGGCGAAGGCGGCUUCCUGGCCCAUUACUGACGUUCAGGUACGAAAGCGUGGGGAGCAAACAGG
rnacentral:rRNA from 1 species